GAUUAUGGCUCAGAACGAACGCUGGCGGCGCGUUUAAGCAUGCAAGUCGAACGGCAGCUCUGGUAGCAAUACUGGAGCGAGAGUGGCGAACGGGUGAGUAACACGUAGGUGAUCUACCCCUGGAUGGGGGAUAGUCCGUGGAAACACGGGGUAAUACCGCAUGAGGCCUUGGGGGUAAAGCCCCGAGGUGAAAGCUCCAACUGGAGCGUCUGGGGAUGAGCCUGCGGCCCAUUAGGCAGUUGGCGGGUAAUGGCCCACCAACCGACGAUGGGUAGCCGGCCUGAGAGGGUGUACGGCCACACUGGAACUGAGACACGGUCCAGACUCCUACGGGAGGCAGCAGCUAAGAAUCUUCCGCAAUGGGGGAAACCCUGACGGAGCGACGCCGCGUGGACGAAUGAAGGCCGUAAGGUUGUAAAGUCCUUUUGCAGGAGAAGAAUAAGCCGGGGAGUGGAAAGCCCUGGUGAUGACGUUAUCCUGCGAAUAAGCCCCGGCCAAUUACGUGCCAGCAGCAGC
rnacentral:rRNA from 1 species